UUGGUCAUCUCAUCUUUUUAAAGGAUGUGGGAAGCUGUCCUGGGUCCAAUGGCUUGGAGGCAGUGGCCUGGGGGCCAUUUACGUAAGAGACUGGGAAGAUUCAGGGCAAGGUCGUCACUGCCUUACGUUUGGUUUACAGAGCAGCUGUUGGCCGUGUCUAUAGCAGCCUGAAUGAAAGGAAAUAAACCGGGAGGUAUAGCAUGAGCUGAAGGAGCAUUAGAUGAUCUGGUCACAUGAUGGAUCACAUGCCUGAGCCAGCUGCCAAGGACGCUGGGAAAGUGAGGGCCUGGUCACUGUUGUGAAGAUCCCCUCGCCCCAUGAGUGGGCCUGUGCAGACAGAGACAGUGAGCGAUAUAAAGAUGCGGUGGGGCAGACAGACACCUUUCGGACGAGCAAGUCAAAGAAUCCUGCCCAUUACCUGGAACCCGGAGGCCUCCUGGUCCAUCGUGAGUGGAGGCCACGGAUGCAUCCAAGCAUCCUACAACGCCCUGGGCACUAGGAGAUACGGAAAAGUACGGAGAUGAAAACAAGAAGGCCCCCCUCCAGAGAGAAACAACACACAGAUUUUUUGUGGAAAUUUGGCUUAGUUAAUUUAUUUGUCCUAAGUUCCUUCUCUGGCCUGCUUUUUCAUUUUUCACAAAAAUAAAACCUGAUUUGAAGUUUCAUUUGAAAAUAUCUUUGCUUAUUUUGAUUAUUGUUGUUUGUUUUCUCAUCCGUGCAUACUCAAACAGCUUAAGCGGCCCCCAGUGGGCCAUGAGGUUGUCUCUCCCACCCCAGCCUCUGGCUCCGCUUCCUGGAAGCCAGCACAGCAGAUUCUCACAUGUCCUUCCUUCCUUUCCUGGGGUUAAAUCAUCUUUGGACACAUGACUUCCAAUUCCUCUAUUCAUUUUGGUUUUGUUUGUGUUUUUCAACUCGCUUAAUUAUAAAGUAUGACAUUGCUUAAAAAAAUCAGAACACACAAAGAGAAGAAAGGGGAAGAUAAGAAAAGUGGAAUCUCCUGAAACCUUACUUCCCCUUUCACAUUUUGGAGUACAUCCUUUUAGGCUUUUUCCAUCACCUGACGUCUCUGCACAUUCUUGCCUUCCCAGGUAUCUUUUUUUUUUUUAGCUCUGAUCAAAGCUUGUGACGAUAUAUUUGUAUUUGAUGAUUAGAUAUUCUGAUCAUUAUCUGCCUUCUCCACUGUGCAGAAAGUUCCAGGAGGCAGGGAGGGUCACGUCUGCGUCUCCCACGCCCAGCAGGGUGCCAGCGCACAGUAGGCCUGCAUUGAGUAUUUUCCGAAUGAAGGAAGGAAUGGGUGACUUCCCUAAAGGGGUUACAUAAUAUAUUAUCCUACCCUGUGACCUAUUUUUUCCCACUUAACAUAUCGGGUACAUCUUUCCACGUCUCUAGCUAGGCAGCAAAUCUCCAUUUUUCAUGUCUGCACGGAGGCACCACAAUAAACAGCUUUUUGAUGCUGACCAGAGG